AUAUCAAUAAGCGGAGGAAAAGAAACUAACAAGGAUUCCCCUAGUAACUGCGAGUGAAGCGGGAAAAGCUCAAAUUUAAAAUCUGGCAGAUGCUUGUCUGUCCGAGUUGUAACCUAGAGAAGUGUAACCUGUGCUGGACCAUGUACAAGUCUCCUGGAAUGGAGCGUCAUAGAGGGUGAGAAUCCCGUCUUUGGCACGGAAUCCCUGGUGCUUCUGUGAUGCGCUCUCGAAGAGUCGAGUUGUUUGGGAAUGCAGCUCAAAAUGGGUGGUGAACUCCAUCUAAAGCUAAAUAUUGGCGAGAGACCGAUAGCGAACAAGUACCGUGAGGGAAAGAUGAAAAGCACUUUGGAAAGAGAGUGAAACAGUACGUGAAAUUGUUGAAAGGGAAACGCUUGGAGUCAGUCGCGUCGGCCGAGACUCAGCCUCGCCCUCGGCUUGGUGUACUUCUCGGCUGACGGGCCAGCAUCAAUUUUGCCCCUCGGAUAAUGGCAGGGGAAAGGUGGCACCUUUGCGGGUGUGUUAUAGUCUCCCGUCGCAUGCGAGGGGUGGGAUUGAGGAACUCAGCACGCGCCUCUCGGCUCGGGGCUUCGGCCCACGUUACGUGCUUAGGAUGUUGGCGUAAUGGCUCUAAACGA
rnacentral:rRNA from 1 species